UUUUUUUUUUUUUUUUUUUUUUUUUUUUGGCCAUGCCCAAAGAAUGUGGAAGUUUCUUGGGCAAGGGAUCAAACCCAUGUCACAGCAGUGACUUGAACCAUAGCAGUGACAAUGCUGGAUCCUUACCCUGCUAUGCCAUAAGGGAACUCUUCAAGAUAUUUUUAUUGACUGCAUCUGUGGCAUGAGGAAGUCCCCAGGCCAGAUAUCAAACCUACACCACAGCAGUGACAGCCCAGAUCCUUAACCCACUGUGCCACCAGGGAACUUGAGAUAUUUUUUAAUUUCCCUUUUGAUUUCUCCUUUGACUCAUUAGUUGUUCAGCAGUAUGCAAUUUAGUUUCCACACAUUUGUGAAUCUUCCAACUUUAAUUUUUUAAGCUGAUUUCUUGUUUUACACUAUUGUUGUUGGAAAAGGUAUUUGGUAAGAUUUCAAUCUUCUUAAAUAUGCUAAGACUUGUUUUGUGACCUAUCAUGUGAUCAAUCCUGGAGAAUAUUCCAUAUACACUUGAAAAUAAUAUGUAUUCUGCUACUACUGGAUGGAAUGUUCUGUAAAUAUUUGAUAUAAAGUGUCAUUCAAGUCCAUUAUUUCCUUUGUGCUUUUCUUUCUGGAUGACCUAUCAAUUGCUGAAAGUGGGAUAUUAAAGUCCCCUACUAUUAUUGUGUUAUUGUUUAUUUCUCCCUUCAGAUCUGUUAGUCUUUGCUUACUAUAUUUAGGUGCUCUGAUGUUGGGUACAUAUAUAUUUGAUUGUUUUAACUUCUUGAUGAAUUGACCCCUUUAUCAUUAUAUAAUGAUCUUUUUGCCUCUUGUUACCAUAUUUGGCUAAAGUCUAUUUUUUCUGUUUUAAGUAUAGUUACCCCUAAUUUCUUUUGGUUUCUACUUUCAGGGGAUGUCUUUCUCUCCAUCCCUUUAUUUUAAGCCUGUAUAUGUCCUUACGUCUAAAAUGAGUUUCUUUCUUUCUUUCUUUUUUUUUUGUCUUUUGUCUUUUUAGGGCCGCACCUGUGGCAUAUGGAGCAGCCCAAAGAAAUAGCAAAAAGACAAAAAUAAAUAAAUAAAUAAAUAAAUAAAAUAAAAUUAGUUUUUGUAGAUUGCAUAUAGUUAGGAAUUUUUUUUUCCAUUUAGUCACUUUAUGUUUUUUGAUCAGAGAAUUUACCAUUUAUAUUUAGAGUAACUAUUGAUAAAUAAGGACUUACCAAUGCAUCUUAUUUUUUGUUUUCUGGCUGCUUUAUAGCUUAUUUCUUCCUUUCCUCCCCUCUUUCUGCCUUCCUUCAUGAAGUAAUGAUUUUCCAUAGUGGAGUACUUUGAUUCCCUUUGCUUUAUCUUUUGUCAAUCUACUGUUAAUUUUUGCUUGGUAUUUACUAUGAGGCUUAUAUCAAACAUCUUAUAGAUACAAUAGUCUGUUUUACUCUAACAAACUUAACCCUGGUGAAUUUUACCCUAAUACACCAUAACUUUUGGUUGUAUACAAAAACUCUACCCUUUCACUCCCUUCCUUUUUUUUUUUUUUCUUUUUUCCCCUUUUUAGGGCCACACCUGCAGCAUAUUGGAAGUUUCUGGGCUGGGGUUAAAUUGGAGCUGCAAUUGCUGGCCUAUGCCACAGCUAUAGCAAUGCCAGAUCUGAACCACAUCUGCAAACUACACCACAGCUUGUGGCAAUGCCAGAUCUUUAACCGACUGAGCAAGGUCAGGGAUUGAACCCACAUCCUCAUGGAUACUAGUCAGAUUCUUUAUCUUCUGAGCUACAACAGUACCUGCCAGUACCAGAGUAUUCUGAAUUUGUCUAAAUACCUAUCUUUACCAGUAUAUCAUAUGUUUUUAUAUGUUUUCAUGUUAUUAGCAUCCUAUCAUUUUAAGCUUGAAGGAUUCCUUUCAGCAUUUCUUGUAGAGAAGGUUUAGUGGUGAUGAACUGAGAUUUUGCUUGUCUGGGAAAUUCUUUACCUCUCCAUUUUUGAAGGAAAAUUUUGCCAGCUGGAGUAUUCUUAGUUGGUAGCUUCUUUCUUUUAGCAUUUUGAAUAUAGCAUCCCACUCUCUCUUAGCCUGUAAAGUUUCUGCUGAGAAAUCUGUUCAUCACCUUAUGGGGUUCCUUGUAAGUUAUAAGCUUCUUUUUCUCUUCCUGAUUCUAAGAUUCCCUCUAUGUCUUUGAUUUUUUUUUUUUUUUUUGGUCUUUUCUAGGGCCACACCCAUGGCAUAUGGAGGUUCCCAGGCUAGGGGUUGAAUUGGAGCUGCAGCCACUGGCCUAUGCCAGAGCCACAGCAAUGUGGGAUCUGAGACAUUGUCUGCUACCUACACCACAGCUCAUGGUAACGCUGGAUCCUUAACCCACUGAGAAAGGCUAGGGAUCGAACCCGCAACCUCAUGGUUCCUAGUCGGACUCAUUAACCACUGAGCUAUGACGGGAACUCCUGUCUUUGAUUUUUGACAAUUUUAUUAUAAUGUGUCUUGGAGAGUGUCUCUUCAAGUUGAGUUCAGUUGGUGAUCUAUGAGUUUGAGGAACUUGGAUAUCUAAGUAAGUCCUCAUCCAUUAUUUCUUUUGUCUUUUUUUUUUUUUUUUUUUUUUUUUGUCUUUUUGCCAUUUCUUGAGCCGCUCCCGCGGCAUAUGGAGGUUCCCAGCCUAGGGGUCUAAUCGGAGCUGUAGCUGCCAGCCUACACCAGAGCCACAGCAAUGCAGAAUCCGAGCCGUGUCUGCAACCUACACCACAGCUCACGGCAAUGCCGGAUCCUUAACCCACUGAGCAAGGGCAGGGACCAAACCCUCAACCUCAUGGUUCCUAGUCGGAUUUGCUAACCACUGCGCCACGACGGGAACUCCCAUUAUUUCUUUAAAUAAUCUUUCUGCCCCCUUAUCCCUCUGUAACUCCAACAAUUCACAAGUCAUUUCUUCUGAUGAAAUAUCUUGUCCUAUAGAUCAAGUGGGCUUUCUUCAUUCUUUUCAUUCUUUUUUCUUUGUUCUCCUCUGACUGAGUAAUUUCAGAAUUCCUUUUUUCUAACUCAUAUAUUCUUUCUUCUGCCUGAUCCAUUCUGCUGAUGCUCUCUAUUGCAUUUUUUUAUUAUAUCAUUCAUUUUAUUAUUUAGCUUCAGAAUUUUUUUUUAAGUUUCUUGUAUACAGCAUUAUAAUUUAACUGUUGUAUACACCACAAAUGAUUAGCUUUUUAAUUAUUUUUAUGAUUUCUAGCUCUGUUAAAUUUUUCAUUCUGUACAUGUAUUAUUUUCCUGAUUUCAUUGAAUUAUCUGAGUUUUCUUGUAGGUCACUGAUUUUCCUUAAAACAGCUAU
rnacentral:lncRNA from 1 species